AAACAUAGUUUAAUGGUUAGAAUAUGACCUUGCCAAGGUUGUGAUGGGGGUUCGAUUCCCCUUGUUUG
rnacentral:tRNA from 1 species